CCAGCCUGCAGGGAGAGGGGAGAGAGGUGAGAGCAGCAUGGGGGAGGAGGAAGCAGAGGAGACAGAGGUGGGAGAGGAGAGGCUAAGCCCCACACCCAACUGAAGAAGUGGUUGGCGGUUUCAGCGGCACCUCCCUCCUCGCUGAGGUGGACUGUGAAGGUGGAGAAGCCCAGAGCACAGCCUCCUGUGAGCAGCUUCCCAGGGUGUUGAGGGCUGCCAGGCAAGGACAGGGCCCUCAGAGUUAGGCCUUGCCUGGGCAGGGGUCUCCUGGGGGAACCUUCCCUCAGGGCCCUGAGGCUCUGGGCUCCAGAGCUCAGCUUCCGCGUUCAGAUACAUGGUCUGCUCUGCUUUGGAGACUGAGAAGCCUGAGAGGUGAAGAAACAGAGGGAAGACCCAGUGCCUUGUGCAAGGUGGCUCAGUUUGUAAGUGGCAGAGCCGAUUUGAACCCACGUUUGUCUGACUCUAAUACUGUAUCAACCCUCCUUCCUCUACCCUGUUCCUCUGCAUUGUCAACUAUUCCAC
rnacentral:lncRNA from 1 species